GGAUUAGAUACCCUGGUAGUCCACGCCGUAAACGAUGUCUACUUGGAGGUUGUGCCCUUGAGGCGUGGCUUCCGGAGCUAACGCGUUAAGUAGACCGCCUGGGGAGUACGGCCGCAAGGUUAAAACUCAAAUGAAUUGACGGGGGCCCGCACAAGCGGUGGAGCAUGUGGUUUAAUUCGAUGCAACGCGAAGAACCUUACCUGGUCUUGACAUCCACAGAAGAAUCCAGAGAUGGAUUUGUGCCUUCGGGAACUGUGAGACAGGUGCUGCAUGGCUGUCGUCAGCUCGUGUUGUGAAAUGUUGGGUUAAGUCCCGCAACGAGCGCAACCCUUAUCCUUUGUUGCCAGCGGUUAGGCCGGGAACUCAAAGGAGACUGCCAGUGAUAAACUGGAGGAAGGUGGGGAUGACGUCAAGUCAUCAUGGCCCUUACGACCAGGGCUACACACGUGCUACAAUGGCGCAUACAAAGAGAAGCGACCUCGCGAGAGCAAGCGGACCUCAUAAAGUGCGUCGUAGUCCGGAUUGGAGUCUGCAACUCGACUCCAUGAAGUCGGAAUCGCUAGUAAUCGUGGAUCAGAAUGCCACGGUGAAUACGUUCCCGGGCCUUGUACACACCGCCCGUCACACCAUGGGAGUGGGUUGCAAAAGAAGUAGGUAGCUUAACCUUCGGGAGGGCGCUUACCACUUUGUGAUUCAUGACUGGGGUGAAGUCGUAACAAGGUAACCGUAGGGGAACCUGCGGUUGGAUCACCUCCUUACCUUAAAGAA
rnacentral:rRNA from 1 species